CACAAGCGGUGGAGCAUGUGGUUUAAUUCGAUGCUACGCGAAGAACCUUACCAGGUCUUGACAUCUUCUGCUAACCUAAGAGAUUAGGCGUUCCCUUCGGGGACGGAAUGACAGGUGGUGCAUGGUUGUCGUCAGCUCGUGUCGUGAGAUGUUGGGUUAAGUCCCGCAACGAGCGCAACCCUUAUUGUCAGUUGCCAGCAUUUAGUUGGGCACUCUGGCGAGACUGCCGGUGACAAACCGGAGGAAGGUGGGGAUGACGUCAAAUCAUCAUGCCCCUUAUGACCUGGGCUACACACGUGCUACAAUGGACGGUACAACGAGUCGCGAAACCGCGGGGUCAAGCUAAUCUCUUAAAGCCGUUCUCAGUUCGGAUUGCCGGCUGCAACUCGCCUGCAUGAAGUUGGAAUCGCUAGUAAUCGUGGAUCAGCAUGCCACGGUGAAUACGUUCCCGGGCCUUGUACACACCGCCCGUCACACCAUGAGAGUUUGUAACACCCAAAGCCGGUGAGGUAACCUUCGGGAACCAGCCGUCUAAGGUGGGACAGAUGAUUAGGGUGAAGUCGUAACAAGGUAACC
rnacentral:rRNA from 1 species